rnacentral:rRNA from 1 species
GAUGAACGCUGGCGGCGUGCCUAAUACAUGCAAGUCGAGCGAACAGACGAGGAGCUUGCUCCUCUGACGUUAGCGGAGGACGGGUGAGAAACACGUGGAAAACCUACCUAUAAGACUGGGAAAACUUCGGGAAACCGGAGCAAAUACCGGAUAAUAUAUUGAACCGCAUGGUUCAAUAGUGAAAGACGGUUUUGCGGUCACUUGUAGAUGGAUUCGCGCCGCAUUAGCUAGUUGGGAAGGUACCGGCUUAUCAAGGCUACGACGGGUAGCCGACCUGGGGGGGUGACCGGCCACAUUGGGACUGAGAUACGGCCCAGACUGCUACGGGAGGCAGCAGUGGGGAAUAGUGAACAAUGGGCGGAAGCCUGAUGCAGCAACGCCGCGUGCGGGAUGACGGCCUUCGGGUUGUAAACCGCUUUCGCCUGUGACGAAGCGUGAGUGACGGUAAUGGGUAAAGAAGCACCGGCUAACUACGUG